AAAACCUAGGUUGUCUGCUGUGUUUACUGUUGCUAAGGGCUGGGCACAUAAGGAGGGUAGUUUGUGACUCAACUGGCUGCCACCAGCUCCACUCCCAUCCGUCCUUCACACCGAUGACAGUAGCUCCCCAUGGGUAUGACUUGUGACCCCUGGUACAUAGUACAAAGUGGGUAGGCAUGCUAUUCUGGUGUCCCUACCCUAGUGACCUUCCCUGGUGUCCCUGCCUCUCCCCCGGACCAGCUCCUAGGCUCACAGCAAAUCCUCUAAGACUCCAUCAAAGAUUUGAAUAUUGAAGUAGUGACCUUCAUUUUCCAGAUCCCUCAUCCCACACACAUCCCACCUGUUCAUGGGUGUCCCGGCCUCCUCUGGGGGGGACCCCUCUUACACCCUAUCUUUCCCUACAGGUGACAAUCUGAAAGAGGACGAAUUUAGCCUGGAGAAAGCAUACAGCCAUUUCCGGCCAAACCUGGAGAAUGUGGACACGAAAACCCAGAGGCCUAAGGUGGUGAAACCAGCAGCCCAAAUUUAGACAAGAGAGGGACAGAGUCCCCACCACCAGUAUCCCUGCUUGGUUAAGAUGAAGCUGACACCACAUCCCAAAGCUAUUCUGAGGCGCUCGGACUCAGUCUGCGUGUCAGUGCUAGAAGGACUUAUCAAAGCAGCAGAGAAGAGGCCUGGGAGCCAGGUACCUUCUCCUCCUCACCGUCACCUCCACGUUCCAGGGGCCCAAAGACUCUUAGGCACCUCACCAUCUUCGUUUGCGUGUAGGCAUUGCUCUACUCUGGAAUUUCCCUAUUAAUAAAGCACUUUUUAAAAGAA